GACGAACGCUGGCGGCGUGCUUAACACAUGCAAGUCGAACGAAGUGGCGAACGUGUGAGUAACGCGUAAUCAACCUGCCCUUCAGUGGGGGACACCAGUUGGCAACGACUGCUAAUACCGCAUACUGAAGGAGGGGAUUGCGUCUGAUUCGCUAGGUGGCGGGGUAACGGCCCACCAAGGCGAGGAGCCGUAGACGGUCUGAGCGGCAGAACGGCCAAAAUGGGAAUGGGAAACGGCCCAGACGCCUACGGGAGGCAGCAGUGGGGAAUCUUCCGAAAUGGACGAAAGUCUGACGGAGCAACGCCGCGUGAGUGAUGACGGCCUUCGGGUUGUAAAGAUCUGUUAAUCGGGACGCGGUACCGGAAUAGAAAGCCACGGCUAACUACGUGCCAGCAGCCGCGGUAAUUC
rnacentral:rRNA from 1 species